CAGCAGCCGCGGGAAUACGUAGGGUGCAAGCGUUAAUCGGAAUUACUGGGCGUAAAGCGUGCGCAGGCGGUUUCGUAAGACAGAUGUGAAAUCCCCGGGCUUAACCUGGGAACUGCAUUUGUGACUGCGAGGCUAGAGUGUGUCAGAGGGGGGUGGAAUUCCACGUGUAGCAGUGAAAUGCGCAGAUAUGUGGAGGAACACCGAUGGCGAAGGCAGCCCCCUGGGAUAACACUGACGCUCAUGCACGAAAGCGUGGGGAGCAAACAGGAUUAGAUACCCCAGUAGUCCCUGUCUCUUAUAC
rnacentral:rRNA from 1 species